UGGAGGACUACAUACCCCAAGGUGCCUUGCCAGCUUCAGCUGGGAGCCAGCCAAUGGGAGGAAACAUCGUAGCCCUGCGAUGGGAAUAAAGAGGAGAUAAUUAAGUCCUGCUGGGUCCCAAUUUGCUCACUACCUGGAAGCAAUCCCGUCCUCCGUUGUCUCUCCUUUCUAAACUCCACCAGGCUGCUCUUCAUUCUCUGCAGUAGGACUGUUUCCUCAUUUUGUUAUUCAGCCCUAGUGCUUCCUGUGUGUGGAGGAACUGUGGUCAGCCAGCUUCCUGUCCCUGCCACCAUGCUUUCCCUGUCUGUUGCUCUGCCUGCUCCAUCAUGGUAGACUCCAUCCCUCUGCAAUGGGUCCCACAAAGAUGCCAGUGCCCCCAGACAACAAGAAGCAGUCUAGAGAAUACAACGCCUACAUUCCCAAGACGUUGAGACUGAUUGUGAAGCAUGAACAGACAGCCCAUGAAGUGUAAAAAGGUGUUCACAAUGGAUAUACUCAACAAAGGACUCGCAUUCAGAAUAUAUAAGGAAGCAAACAACCCAGCUGGGCAUGGUGUGGUGCCUGCCGAGAACUCCAGCACUUGGGAGGGAAAGACAGGUCAUCCUUAGUUCUAUGGUGAGUUUGAGAGCAGCGUGAACUAUGUGACACCCUGUCUCCAAUAUACCACCAAAGGAAAGGCGGGAGGACGAGAAGGAGAGAGAAUCCAAU